UCUGGUCUGGCCAGGAGGAGCAGCCAGGGCAAUAGGCGUUUGGGGGACACUUGAACCGUGUGUCUCCUUGGGACAUUGCGUGUUCAACAUGCCGGCUCAGCCCCAGUUCUGAUACUGGUUUGCUUUGGUCUUCUGUGCCUGUGUUGAGCCCAAAAGGCCUGGCUAGGACUGGACCUCAGGCUCCUACUUGCUUUUCUGUGUUGCCUUUGCGCCAUCACGUCUGCUAGUCUUUGCUGAGCAGCCAGCUAAUGUGUUUAAGCCUCUGAGUUUUUUUCCAUGUUAUCUCCCUGGUUUCAUGUGUUUGCAUCAUGUCUGAAAUCAGCUCACAAAUACUGUGUGAUUACAUGAUCUGUAUUGGAUGGCGCCUGGUAGACGUGGUCUGCAAAACUGCCGGAUGGGAGCCAGCCUCAAAACCCAGGCUGCAAGCGGGGCUUCGCGUGGGGAUGAAAACUCAGCUUCAUCCCUGGGUUAUGGGGGAACAUGUCGCUUCUCCUUGGUGCUUUCUGGUAGCUGGGGUCUUAGCUUCUAUUUAACAGAGACUUUGAGACUUGAUUAUUUUCAGCUCGGAGUCAAGGAAAGGGAGGUAGAGGUUGCGUUGCCUGACCAAAGCCAGGGUUGAGUGGAUCUGUAAACUGGGAGUUUUUGUAUCUUGUGCUUGUUGCUUGUCCCCCUGGAUUUAGAGAUCUUCUCUGUGGGUGAUACAGAGAAUGGCUAGUAAGAACAAGGAAAAGCAUGAGAGCUUGGAAAAGGAUUCCUGUAAGGAGCUGGGACAAUGAUCCCAAGGCUCCAUCAAAGUAUCCCCUGUUCUUGCCUCAAUCGUUGUGGAGUGACUGAUCCAGAUGGAGUGAGUUCAAAGCACAGUACUUGCUCGAAUCCACUUUCUUUUUCCUAUCCCUUAGAGUGAAAUCCCAGGGUCAUCUUAAAAUGUUCCUAUGGCAGGAAGCUCCUCUGCUGGAGCUGCUCCCGCGGUAAGUGCCCGAGGCACGUCCCUGCCCGUGGACACACGCGAGGAGGUUUGUGGCAGGCUGCUCAGUGAAGGGGGAUGUUUAUUGCAAAUUAAGUGUGGUUGUGGGAUGGCGCGAAUGAAGUGGGUCGGGGUUGUGGUCAGCUUAGUAGCCCUGCGGAUUGGAAGCUGCGUGCGUGUGGCCCCGUUCGGCUGUGUGUGCUGUGCAUGGUGCAGCAGGUCCUGGCUCUGGCUCUGCCUCAGAGGAUUUUACUGCAAUUAGUAUAGAUCUUGUGUCAAGUGCUGCUGGCAGCAAAAUGCCCGGGUUCAGUUCUUAAGGAGUUUUUCCGAAAAGGUUUGUGAUGGGUUGAAUCCUCACCCAGAAAACUUGAUCUGUUUUGACUGGUGGUUCUUCUUGUGUUUGUAAAUGAUGAACUUGUGGGGGGAAAAAAAUAUUGGUGGUGAAAGGAGAAUGCAAUAAACUUGAGAAACUUGGCAGAUCGGGAAACUUAAGCCUCUCCAUAAUGUGAAUUGCGUCAGUUCUUGAUUCAGUCUUUUUUCAAUGUAUUUCUAAGAAGUUUAAACUAAACUAAAUGAUGUCUUACCAUUGUCUUUGCUAAUGGGGAUCGGUUGGUAGCUAACUGUGGAGGAUUGAGAUUGUUGUAAGCUAUUUCGGAAGAAUCCAAAACGUUGGUCACUGGUGCUUCAAACAGUAAAACUGAAAAGAGGAAAAAAGCAAGUCAAAAUUCAGCUCCUAAAAGUAGGGAUAAUCUCUUGGGAUCUAAAAUAGCAAGUGGUUGUGGAGGGUGUAGCGCACAGUGUGUUGUUCUCACCUGGUUUACUGCUGCCUUUUUUUUUUUUUUUAAAUUUUGAGUUGAGGUCUUCUGACUUGAUCACUACGAGCACAAAAGCUGUUUUUAUUUCCUUUCCACGAGUAGUAUGUCAUACACGGCACCAGCGUACCAUGCCUUCAGAGGAAAUAACAGUUUUUUACCCCGUGCAAAACUGAUGCGUUCUUGGCUCAGCCUUGAACCGACCUGUUCAUGGCUCCACAAGAAGGAAAAGUGACAAAACUGGGCUUUCUCUCUGAAUUUCUGAGAAACUUCCCAAAGAAUUUGUAACAGACUACUAUGAAAUUAUUUCUUUCAGUGGGUGUGAAUAUGGAACGGAAAUCGACCGUUUAACUUAUUGUAGAAUUAACGAUGGCUUUAGCCUGUGUGUUUUAGUGCUUCAAAAUCUCACUCAUCCGUAUUUAAAAACUCUUUAACUGACGUCAAAUCCGUUAAAGCAAGAGCUCUUGUUCUUGCAUCUUAUGUGAAAAUCUGAGUUGUCAUGCUGGGCCUGAUCAAGGACUUCCUAGCCCUCUGCUCUGUGAUGAUACUUCAGCAAGUGCUUGAAGGAACGUGUUGUGGUAGUAGUGCACAUGUACAGAGAUCUCUUCCGUGUGGAUAACCAGCGCAGCAGGGGUAGGAAGGGUGGGAGCGCGGUGCCCUCGUGCAGGGAGGUGAUUGAGAGCAGCAGAGAGCAUCUGUGCUGCUCCUGUCGAGUCUCAGGUUAAAGUAAAACCUGAGCAAAGGCCCAGUGUCUGUCAGGCCACCUCACCUUGCAGGGGAAAAUAAUAAUAAUAAACAGAAAUUUCCUGGCAGUGAGUAAGUGGGAACUUACUGGGACAGGCCAAAGUGUCUCAUGUUUAGUGACUCCUAGCAGAUCUGCCCUGAUGAGUUUGUCCAGUCCUUUCUAAAUCCAUUUCUACUCUUGGCUUUUGCAGCAUCUCGACGCAAGGAAUUCCACCAUUUAAUUAAUUCCACCAUGGAAAGCUCCAUCCUUUGGUUUUAAACCCCCUGUGAUGUUCCCUUGUGCAGAUAGUGUGAGAAAUACUAAAUAAUUGUUUUAUGUUUGUAUGUAUGAUUUUAUAGCGCUCUUGGUCUCUCUUCCAGGUUAAAGUUCUGAUCUAUGAAGUCUUUGUACAAAAAAUACCUCCAAAUUGUCUCUCCUAUGUCCCUUUCUAGGUAUGGGACACCCUUUUGAAGAGCGGGUGUCUGGCAGUGCGUGUGUUGCUCAGGAUGUGGGGGACUCGUGGGCUUGUAGCGCUAGCAUAGUAUUUCCUGUCUUUUUUUUCUGUAUUCUCAUUUUGGCCACAUCAACCUUUUUCAGCCGUCAAAGCUUGUCUACUUUUUCCAGUUCUCUAUAAAAAAGAAACUACCUUUUUGUACACACUGCUUUGCUCGCUCCUAAGACUGUCAUGACUGCACAGCUACUAAUGCUCGUUACUAAUCUUAUUUAUUUUUUUCUGGCUCCUACUCAGCCCCGAGGUGACACUUUGAGUGGGCUCCUCAGCCAUCCCGGGACCUUUCCGGAGCAGCAGUGCUUGUUAGAAACCCUGUGCACGGGUGGUUAGGGUUAUUCUUCUCCCACGCGCGUUGCUUCACACGAUGCACUGAAUUUCACCUGUUGCCUCAUUGCUCAGUUAUGCGGGAUUGUAAAAACCUUCUGCAAGACUUCCGUCAUCACCCGAUUUCACUUUGAGUGAUCUCAUCUGCAAACACUGUUGUCUAACUAGUCGUGUCUUUCCCAAGUCUUGCAACAUCCAGACCUGAGUGGAAGGUGCGGGGAGCAGGGGAGAGGAAGGCGAGCGGCUGGUGCUUCCUGCCACCGUGAAAACUCACUGCUUGGUUUGGAGAUACCCCACUUUCAGUGGCAGUUGUGUAUAUUUAGGGGACCGGUUCCUGACGUCUAACAAGGAACCUCCUUCCAUUCAGAGCUUCUCUGCAGAUUGCCUCACAUUUUGCCCUGAAGGUGAUGUUCAUCUCUUCCCAAUUAGUGAGGAAACGAGUGAGGUAACAUCCAAACAUAUAAAAAGCCGAUGUAUUAUCUUGUGCCCUCUCUGAGCUUACUUGACCUGUUGCACUGCUUUUCACGGAUCACCAGCAAAUGGGAUUUUUACUCAAAAAUGUGAUUGUUCGAGUUCCAGACAUAAUUUACAUCUGAGAAAUGUCAGUUGACAUUUGCUUAUACAAAUGUGCUUAAAAUAGUAUGCAAGCCAACACUGGAUUCCCAGAUUAAAUCCAUGGCCCUGGAACCAGCAAAGUUUGCAAUUUCAGGGCUGCUGUAAAGUAUCAGAGAGGUCAUUUCCCUGCUAAAUUAAAAUUGAAUUGCCUUUCAGCGGCAAGUAAUCAAAUUGUGUCUUGUUUUAUUACAUAUCCUACUCUAACUUGUUGGCAUAUUGAAUAUUGCUUCCUGUUCUGGCAAAAAAAAAAAACGUUUUUGAAUUGUCUGACUGUAAUCUUUCAUUUGCAACUUUUCCUCUCUUAAAAAACAGCAAAAAAAUCAAACCAAAAUGUCUUGCAGCAGCUGCUGCCGAGCUUACAAGGCUCUGCGGGUUGCUGUAUGGCCUCCUCCAUCGUGGCUGGAAAGUUGAACGUCUGCUCGCCUUUGAAUUGCCAGCUCGUAGUUGAAAUGCCCUCCUUAGUCUGUGUCCUUUCUCGGAAACUCUUGGUUUUUAGGCUGCUCAGAAAGCACUGAGGUGCUAUUUGGUGCUUUUGGGCAGUAGGAUUCUUCCGUCUGUGUCAGGUUAUUGUUUGAGACCAUCUUUUCUUCCUUGGAAUAAGUCUCAUCUGUGUAGACUCAGCUGGUAUGGGUAGCAGAGCCUUUUCGUUUUGUUUCUGUGACAGUCUUGCCAAUUGAAAUAUCAUUUGUUCUGGGUUUUUCUACCCCAAAAGAUCCGUCCGUAACAGCGGAGGGCAAAUCUGAAAAAAAUUCAGUAGCCUGUUACCUAGAAGCCUUCAGAAAUUCGCGUGAAAAGGUGGCGGGAGCAGUCUUUAAGGUAGACCUCGCUGCUGUGCCGUAGGGGAGGAAAUGCACAGGGAAGUACUGUGGUGGUUUAAGUGAGCUGUGCGCAUUUUCUGCCAGCUUAAGUUAUUUAAAAAAAUACCUCUGAAAGUGGCUGGUUAUGUAACUGGCACUUAGCUAAUGUUAUUGCUGCCAUGUCCUAUUAACAGGAAAACCCCACCAGCUUUUGCAAGGAGCAGCCUUGUGAAAGGUCGCGUAGUGACGUAGGUCUUCUCAACUUCAGGCGUUUUUAACUUUGAAGUGGUCGGGGAGUAGCAAACGGCUCCAGCUCUUGGGAUCCUGCACUGGGGGAAACUGAGGCAACGUUUUCCUGAGUAGCUCGCUCUGGGGUGGUGAUAUCUGUGAACGAGGCAGACCUCUCCUAAAGACAGCCAUUUACGGAGUUAAGGAUUGAAGAAGCGGACAUCUCACAUGCUUCAUACGGCUUCUAUUUUUUCAUAUGAUUGGAUAGUGGCAGUUGCAUGAGUGCUGAAUUGGCUGUAGUGCUCUGUCUGCUUCAGCCUCGUCGUACUCGUAGUAACGACUGCACUGAAGUGGUAUCAUGGAAUAAAGCCCCUGGUUAUCUGUUUGCUUCCCAUGUCUUUUUUUCUUGCCUGACAGCUUAAAAUCAGAUAGAAACAUUCUGUUUGUGUUUCUCAUGAGGGCUCUUUUUUGCUGAAGAAUAACUGUUGCUCAAUUUAAACUUUAAUUUAGCACGAUUGUAUUUAGUGUCUUUAGGAUAACUGCUAAACUGACUCUUACCUCGCUAUAUAUUUUGAAGGAAAAUGAGAGAACAAGGUUUCCAAGUCUGUUUAUAGCUACUGGCUGCAUGCUACCUGGCUUGAGGUGUUCACAUAGGCCUAAGCCUUGCAAACAUUUUUCCAGACCGAGCUGGAGCGAUGUGGCUGGCAGUGGGACAGCUUGCAUAUCCAAAACUACCGAGUAUUUUCAGGACAGGGUCCUUACGGUCUGAGUUUCAGUAUCACUUUGCAAUUUUCUAGGAUUAAAACAGGAGUGUGACUAUGUCGUGUCCCAUGAAAGCCUUUGCAGUUCAUCAGCUAUAAAAUUGUUGUGCUACGGAUUAUGCUGAAGCUGUUGGGGAGCUUUGCCUGCUCAGUGCAGGAUUCAGUCCAAAAUGGUGUUUGGAGUAGAAAGCUCGUGCUUGUCCAUAGAUCAGAAGUUGCAAGGUAACUGGUGAGAAGCAGCAGGGAAGCUGUUGUGCCUGUGAAUCUAAGCGGCUGAAUGCUGUUGCAAGUCCUUCCCUUAGCACACAAGGAGCUGUAUUCCCAUAACUACAGCCUGCUGCUAAGGAAGUUGAUAAUUAACUGUAGUCACCUAUAUUUACAAAUACUUGCCUACAGGUUGCCCUUGAAACCAGUUUUCUGAUGCAUUCACAUCUGCCGGUUUUAGACAAAUGCUUUGCUCGGGCGCGGCAUCCAGAUCUCCAAAAUUUACAGUGCUUCAAACCCAGAAAAUAGCCGUGUAAUGUUGAUUCUUCCUGUAGAUACUUUACAGGCGUGUUCUGGGAUACAUCUGUAAGCACCAAGUAAAUCAGAGCUUGCAUCUGUUAAAAAUACUGAGGCCUCUGAAAGAUAACCAGAUUUUUGGAUCAUCUCUUAUAUGGAAAACUGUGCUUGUAAAAGGCGGGGAGAAGAAUUCAGGCCUUUUAUUUGGCUUAGAUAUUCUGAUAGAGCGACUGUGUCAUAAACAAAUGCUUUUUGGCCUUAGGGAGGAAUUUUUGUUUUAGCUAAAAAUACAUACGUAUCUUUAGUAGAGGACUUGGUAGCUCGUUCCUCUGGACGGCACCCGCAGAGGCAACGAAACGGUCAAAUAAAGAAGCAAGCAAGUUGUUAUCAUUCUUGCAAGAAGCUAAGUACUUUUCCCACAGCUACUUAUUUUUAGUAACAGAUACUUGAGCCGUAGAGAGGAAGUGUUGUCUCAGGCGCUGCUUGUAACCCGGGUUUGCUCCUUUGGCUCAACUGCUGAAGGAGUUUUGCGUGUGACUGCCCUUGAAACGGGAGGAAAUAGCUUCUGGCUACUCGUGGCGUGACCGGGCUGCGGCAUGCUGCUGCUGCUGCGUUAAUUUGGACUACUGGGGAGAGGAAGAUGUUCAUUUACCGAGGAAACUCGACUGUAUUGGGCACUCGAGCUGAGGCAGCCUUUCUGGUAGUGAGUUAUCAAGCCUUCAAAAUGAUUCCUGUUAGUGGUUGCGUUAUUAUAUAGUUGCACCGUUACAGACUAUGGAAAAAUGAGCUCCAACUCUCUGUGCGGAUAUACAGAGAAGAGCGUGUUGCUUGUUCUGCUCUCCAGAACCUGCCACCAGGUGCGAAGUGCCAAAGCAGUCCAGAAGAAAUGUCCUAUAUUUGGCUUUUUGAGACUGCUAGCAGAGAAGUUUAACGUGCCCUGGGACCUGGGUCAGGUUGCCAUCCAGUGGGUUUAAUUAAAGUGUCAAGAGCAGCUGUGGUUCCACCGCUGCUUUUCUCAGCCAGUUCCUCGGUUUCACAGUAAUCUCUGAUUCUAAAAUUACUUACCGGCCAGGCAGCAGUGCUGCAGAAGAGGACUCGGGUGGUGGUAGGUUGGAGACUGGUGGCCGUGUGGGACUAAGCUAAAGGAACAGCUCUAUUUUAGGAAGCAGGAGGGCUGUGGAGCACUCCUCGUGUUUUCCUCGGCCCUUCGGCGGUGCGCCGUGUCCUGUUUGAAGCUCCGCAGCUCAGGAAGGAUAUGCCACUUUGCUCAAAGCGGCGAGGAGACUUGGCAGAGAGUGAGAAAGCAUGACCUGCAGGGAAGGGUAAAGCAAACCGGACUCCUUAAAGUGAAGGAAGAGAAGCUUGCGGGGAGAUACGGCCAUGGCUUUUAUGCAUGUAAAAGCAGCUAUGAAGGGAAAGGGAACAAAUCCUUUUUCCUGUCUGGAGGAGGACGACAAGAUAAGGAUUAAUGGUCUUGCAUUCAGCAGGGGAGAGUCGGGUUAAACCUUAGGAAGAGCUGUAGCAGGAAGCAUCUCCCUGGUGUCACCUAGAUGAGGCUGAUCUUGCCUUUGGCAGGGAGGUGGACAAGAUAAUUUAUUAAGCUCCUUCCGCAUCCUACUUUCCGUAACAGCAUUUUGGGCCAGAAGAUUCACCUUGCAUUAUGCUGACAUAUGCAAAGUUGCUUUUCCUCUUGGAAAAUUGUUCCAAAGUUGGAGGGUAUGGACCUGGAAAGCUGCUGACAACAGGGGCCCAGAAGUCCUUAGCUCUAGUCCCACGUUGAGACUUCACGUGCGUUCCUCUCCAGUAUGGCCUGCACCUACCUGUCGCUCACCCACUGCACACGUUACCGCUUGGCUUUUUCACUGCUGGGGCAGCUCCUCGGGUGUUUGGGGUGCUGUUCUUAGACCAAGGCUAGUAAAAGCAGAUGUUAACGGCAAAGCAAGCUUGACUUGGGCACUCCUUUUCGUAUUACUUUUUGCCUUUUCCAGUAGGCACCAUUCCUACCUUGUCAGGCCACCAGCAGAGCACCCUAGCAGAAGCUGGCGUUUGGAGGCAAAAUCUUUGAAAGGUCAUGUGGAUUUUUUUCCCUCCUCUUUAGUAUGAAGCCACUGUCAUAUAAUAAACCCUGUUGGGAGCCUCACACUUGUAAAUGGAGGGUUAAGCUCAUACAAGAAACUGGCAGAAAGCUUGAGAUCUGAUUUUUCCUGAUGCUUAUUAAUCUUGGCUUAUUUUUGCAUUGUGUAAUGGACAGAGGGUUUUUACAUAAUUUUUCUCUUUUCAUCUGCGCUGCUAAAAAAGAUUAACUGCUCCUUUUCAACACAAGCUAGACUGCGCUAAAACCUUGGCUCCUUUAAUCUGCUGCUCGGUAGUCCCAGCUGUGCAGGGUUGUCUUCUUGUGGGAGCUUUUGCAUGGGCUCUGUGGAAAUAAUGACUGACACGAAGCAUCUUUUCAUCCGUAGCUGAGAGCGUCCUUGUGCUGAAUGAAGAGGAGCUCCAAAGGGUCAUGCAUGGUGGUGACAUGAAAUAUGGGCUGGAGGAGAGCGUGUGUAAGCUCUCCUUUGGGGAAUCUCACUUAGUCUUUUGCUUCCAAUGAAUAAACUCGUCUCUAAUUUGUUCCUUUCCUUGUUUAAAUAAUCUUUUGGGGUAGCUUUUUUCUCUUUUGUUUAGAAAAGAAAAAUCUGAGGCUGUGUGUCUGCUCCUUCUCUCCUCCCUAGCUGCUGGCCGCGUUGACCAGCUUCAUCCCAGCGUGAUGAGAGGAGAGGCUGCAGUGUGAGCUCAGCUGUUAUCAGCUAUCAGGGAACCGCCUGGGGAGAGAUGUGAAGUUGAGCUGCGGACAAUGUUUUGAUUGGAGCUGCCACUUUAUUAAGCACCGGAGAACACAACCACGGGUCAGAUCCACGGGAAACCAGGCCUCCUUGGUUCUGCUGAUCAUCAAACUGCCGUGAUUCCUGCAGGAGUUGCACGUAGCAUCCCUGCUCGGAGGAAAUGCCCGAGGGCUGUUACUGGGAAGGCCACGUCAGUGGGGUCCUGAGCUCUCAGGCUUAGUAACUUGUGCUUAAAUUCAACAUGUCUGUUGAAAAGUAACGUGGCAAAAGGUCAGUCUAAAACUUCCCUUUCCAUUUAAGCAUUUGACUACCUUUCAGAUUCGGUUUUUGAAGCUUUAAAAGCUUUUUCUUUAUUCAAGUUUGACAGCUCCCAGUAUCUUUUUUUUUUUUUAACUAGGUCUUGACAUUGUUUUCCUCAUGCCCUUAGUUCCAUAAAUACAGCAAAUGCAAAUCAUCCUCCUAUUCGGAUCGUCUGGGGUGAAGCAUGAACAUUUCAAGGGUAAUGUAUUUCACCUGGAAGAAAGUAAUUUGAAAUACAGAUACUGACUGGAAAAGCAGCGUAGAUGUGAGCUUUCAGACACACUCCUGUGAGCAUCCAGAGCUGUUCGAAGCAGCACACGCAUUCCUGGGUGGGUUUAGGACAGCUACAAAGAACAUUUUUUUAAUAAGCAAUCGUAAGUGACCUUUAAUAGCACGUUGGGGGGCGAUUAAGGGUAGCAAAGCAACGUGAAGAUGCCGUCAAGGCUGAUAGCGAAGAUGAUGUGGAGUACCUAAGGCCAGAGGUUAUUUGCUAAAAGUUAGGGACAAGCCAAAAUAAGAAAACAUAUUCUGUAAAUAUUCAGAUUUUAGACCUUUCUUGCAACCGGUGCAGAUGGCCGUCUUCUGUCUGAGCUUGUGCAGCACGUAUGACAAGAUACUUUAUUCGUUUCUUCCUUUAGGUCUGCUGUCAUUCUUGUGUCUCUUGGGAGACUGGUGGCUUUGUGCCUAAAACCACUGCGUGUUGCAGCUUCAGGUUAUUCCCACUGCUUCGCGGAAAACAAAGCACAUAAACAAGCAGCAGGAACGCCUGUUGGUCCGGGGAGAAAAUGGUGUUUAGCCCUGGCCUUAAAUCCUAGGCUGUGCUGUUAAAAGUUCGGGUGGCUUGGGACUGUUUGGGGAUUUUGUGCUAAGGUAAGUGUUGGCAGCAAAGAGGAGAUGCUGAAAGUGGAUGCCGUGUUUCUGCUCGCUCACCUUUUCUGUCAAAAACAAACAGCUUAAGGAGAGCUCUCCAAAAAUGCUUAAUUUUUAGUGGUUGUGCUUCUAGGUGUGAAGGAAAUGGACCUGGUGACACAGCUGAAUAUAGGGCAAUCCAGCGAUUGGGGAUGUACAGCUAAAGGAAAGAGAAGGCAAAGGGUGCGUGUGGGAGAUCUUGGGGUUUACUUACCUGAGACAAGGCCCUGGUAUGUGACAGCCACCAAUUUGCCAUGUAAAAAUAACUUGAGAAAAUAGUAAACUGGACAGAUAAUGAGAAAUAGUCCUCUCUUAAAUACUGUGAAACCAAUAGAUGAUACGGCCUUUCCAGCAAGGGGAAGGAUAAAGCAGCUUACAGGCCUCCUUUGUCUGUAGUAUCCGAUUGCGUUUCCACAGGAGCGAAGCAGAUGGUCGUGUUUUUGGUUUCUAUGGAAGUACUUGUAUACGUGUAUUCCGGUAUUUUGUGCACAAUACGAGUGCGCACGUGGCUUUUGAGCCGGAGUUGCUGGGUUCAGAUUCCAGUUUACCUUCUUGUGGCCUUGCCUCAGUUUCCUCACUUUCUCAGCUUUCCGCAUGAGAUUGUACGAUCUUGAGGCCGCCGGGUCCCGUGUGCGUGGGCUGAGCCCGCGUUCGGCGGGGAGGAAGGCUCUCCACCUGCCCCUCCGUGCCUGCUUCUGUUUGCAUCAGACUGGAAAACUUGGUUUGGCCCAAACCCAAGCUUUUGUUUCCCUUUGACGCUGAGGUUGGCUUGCAGCCGCGUCGGGUCGCCGAGGCUUUGCGCUUGCUCCCCAGAGAGGCAGAGGGGAACCGGGGGGAGGAAGACCGCGGCGCUGCCCCUUUCCCUUGCAGCGUGGCUUUGCGCCGUGCUUAAGGCCUGCCCCAGCCUCGGGCGAGGAGUUUUUCCCCUUGCAAAGGUCUCGUUGCUGGCGAAUCUGCAAAUAUCGGCGGACUCUGACCCAAGCGCCUGAACCGCCUCGCGGGUCUCGGUGCCCCAGUCUAGUGUGGCCUGGCAGCUCGGCUCUCCGCCGUUCUCAGAUGUGUGUUUUUGGCUUAGUUUUUUAUUUUCUUGUAGCAAGCAGCCCGUGUUCCUGACAGCAAAGUGCGAAGGGGCUGAGAAAACAGUUGCUGUGGUAACAGAGCAUAAUAAAGUUAUUACAGCGAGGCUAAAACAUUGCAUGCUCAGGGCUCCAAAUGCUUGGUUUCUAUUCGGGUUUUAUUAAGAAAGUAAUAAACUCUUGCUGCAGUGCCCGAAGGGGAGGCCCGAAAGCAGCCAGUGCCCAACGCCGGGAGCUGAUCCUCGGCUUUGCCGUCUCUGCGGCUGCUUCGGGCCGUCCUGCAGCCCCUUUUUGGGGGUCCUCAUGGCCGGGGAGGCAGUUUGCAAAAGGCCUGGGUAGAAAAGGCUGGGGAACAGGGUCGCAGAGCUGCUCGCAGUUGUUCGUGAGCUCACUGGUGUAUCGUGAGUUAAAACAGCGCUGUGCACGACGCGAAUAAAAGGUGGGGAAAAAAAGCCGCAUUGUGUUUUGUGUGUGCGUCGCUGAAUUGGUGGCAGCCGUGUGAAACGAGGGGGGAUGCUACCGUUUCUCGGUAGAUCUUCGUUUCCCUUACGGAUCCUCAGAGUCGGUGUUUGCAGCCGAAGGGAAACGCGGGUCUGCCUGUUUGCAGCUCCUUGCUGUAAUCGCUGGGGACAGCGACGGGAGCAGCUGUCUCCUGCGCGUGCUGUUCAACAGGUUUUAUGCAAAGGAGCCAAAGAAAUACGAGUGUUUCUGCUUUGGUUGUUCUUCCCAAGAUGCUUUUAUGCAGGCACAAGCCGACGCAACUUUCUGCCCUCCCUCCAGUGACCCGAGAAGUGGAGCUUCAGACAGCCUGAGUCCGGAUCAGGCCCGCCCAGCGGGGAGCGGGGAUGGCUCGGGGUCCGUCUGCUUCGGCUCCCGGCAGCGGUUAGCAAUGGUGGCACAAAGCUAUCGAACCUCAAACGAAGAGCUCUUGCCUCUCCAAAGGACGGCACCAAGAGAAUGGCAUCAUCAACCUCUUUGGCAAGACGUACGAGGCGUUGUGCAGGCGAUACUGUUUGGCACGGCCGAGACCAGAUGGACAGUGGGGUCUUGGGGCAAAAGAAGCAUCUUGUUCCACGCGAUUGCAGCGUUAAUCAGCCCGUGCCUGGUUUUGGGAACCCCCGUGCGCCGGUUCCCUCCCCCAGUCUUGUGCUGGGGUUGAUGCAGGGGGAAGAGGAGCCCUUCUCGCUUCCCUUGUCAUUUCUGCUCUUUCGUGGCUGUAUGAGGAAUUGGGCAAAAUGUGACUUUUGCUGGCCUUGUCUCCGUGGGACCUUUUUCAAGGAAAUGUGGGACUUUUUUUUCCAAGCUAAACAGCACCGUGCUCCUUCCUACCUUGCAGAAAGGUGGGAGUUAGCCCCCGGCCUGGGAAAAUGUCCUUGUCGGAGUAGCAGCACACGUCGUCCGAGUACUUCCAGCUCAUCCUGCCCCAUAUAACAUGGGUGGUUUCCGUACCCGACGGGGGACGGUGCUGCCUAAGCACUCGGGCCGAGGCAGCCUCUCCUGGAGGUACCUGCAGCAGGUCCCAUCCCAGCCCCGGGGCACGCGGGCUUUCUCAGGGCCGUUUUCCCACAAGACAAAUAGCUGAGGCUCUUGCUGGCCUCUUGUUACAGUCUGUGUUAUUUUUUUUCUUUGCAAAAGUGAGUGUCAUGUAUCGCAUGGCCGUUAAACAGGUCUGAAACGGGGCCGUGCUUGGAGUCCCAGAGCCAGGAGCAGAUCUUGGUUAUUGUGCCGUUAGGCGUAGGUCAGCUAAACAUUCAUUCUGUGAAGCUGGGGUGAAAAUUCUCCACCAAAAGCUGAAUUUCCAUCCGAAUCCUGCAGCGGGAGGUGGUGCUUCGUGGCAGGCCGGUGGCAUCGCCCCUUCUUCGAGAGGCCGGAUCUCCCGCGAUGCUCUGUGGUCCAGUGAAGGGUGGAGAUGCGGAGAAGAACGGGCUCAUAAGCAAUGUUCCUGCAGAGAGUUAUUCUGCUUUUCAGUUGAGCAUUUUGUUUUUGGCGCAUCUUAAACCCCGCUUUGGCUGUGACCUUGCAUGAAUCACGCAGGCGAGAACUUCAGUUAUUAAAACCUCGUCUCCUUGCAACGCCCAAUUACUUUGGUGACUGGCUGUAAAUACUGCGGUUGCACCUUCUGUAAAGUCCUCGAGUUAUCUGCCGGGUCGGUGUUCACUUAGCCUCCCAGCAUCCCCCUUGGACUUUUCAGCUACCCCAAUUUUGUGGACAGGGAAUUAAACUCUGCUGAAAUAACGUGAGUAUCCUAAAAAGCCUAAAUGAACGGCCGGCUCCGUGUUACCAAGCCACCUUUCAGCUCCGUAAGCACAAGGUUGCUGUUAGUCACGGAGGCGUUUUCUUUAAAGUCUGGUUCCCUGGCAGCCUCAAAGCAGAUGAUUUUGAUGAUAAGGAAGAUGAGAAGGUCCCAGCUAUCUCCGCGAGCCGGCGAGUUUCCCCAGGAUCUUUCUGCCUGGAAGAACAAAGUUGAACGCAAAGCGAAAGCUGGGGAGCCGGGCUUGCGUUGCUGCCUGGCCGGCUGGCGUUGCUUCUCUGCAGGCUUUUUUGUUUAAUUUAUGAAGGGGAAAAAUAGACUCCAGAAAAUAGGUUAAUCAUCAGCUCCAAAAAUGCAGAGUGAGAUCUGUCUCGCACCCGAGCGGCACCGCUUAAUUAGCGUGGGCAAAGCUGUGGCUUACGCUUGUGAAACUCCCUGCGCAGUUUAACUUACUUUAUUUUUUAAAUAAAUAUGGAGCCGGAGAAGAUUGGCGCAUGGCGGUUCCUGGCUUCGGCAAACGUUUCACCUUUCAACAAGGUCUUUGUGUGUAAACACAAACCUAGUUGUAGUCGCUGUUUUUUUUCGUUUCCCCUUGCGGAGAAGUGAAACCGGCCAUGUGUAGCCUUCGCUUUUGUUUCUGCUUUUGUCCCGGAGCUACGAUGGUGACAGAUUAACCCGCGUAAUUAUUCCGAAAACCCGAACAAGCCAGUGUGGCCCCCUCUUCCCUCCCGCCCUCGAGAAGGAUGGCUUUGCUUCUCCAGGCUCUGAAAUAUUGUCCCAGUCUUGCUGGUGGCUUCUUGGCUUGAAAAGAGCUGAUGGUUUUUGGUUUUGUUUCUUUUCUGAGUACAGAAUGGGAUUAUGUGACUUGGUUAAGGGAAAAGGGGUGGGUGUAAAACAGGCGUGCUGGCUGGCCUAGCCUGGAGUAAUCCUUGAGUUUAAAACAUCUUUUUGCAAGAUUCAGAUGAUUCCUCAGUGUAAGGUGCUGUAAAUCAGCUGCUUUUUAUUGGAAAGGGGUGCAAGCAUGUUAACCUGUUGCAUUCAAAUAAAUACAUUUCAUUGCUGAUGGA